rnacentral:lncRNA from 1 species
AAGAACAAAAAGGAGAAUGACGAACAAACUGAUGGGCCACCAACCAUGUGAUGGACCGAUAGAGUGUCCAUCAAAGCAAAACAGAAUGGGAAGAAUGGAUAACCCAAGUGACGGUCCAAGUAACAAACUGUUGGACCUCUUAUGGUCCGUCAACCUGGACGUCAGGCUGAGACAAAAAGUUGGUUCCUCGAGUGAUGAAGCGAUGGUCCAAGUGACAAACCAUUGACUAUUGAUGGUCCAUCAACUUGCCUAUCAUCCCUUAAAUAUAAUGAAGCAGCUCGAGACCUUCAGCGACGGUCCAAGUGAUGGACCAUCAAGCCACAAAUGGGCCAUCAAUUUGGCCGUCAACUGUGAAGCGGCAAUACUAAGUUCAAAUUUUAAAUCCC